ensembl:lncRNA LINC01524 long intergenic non-protein coding RNA 1524
AGUGCUGGCGCAAGUCGUCUUGCGCCAGGCGACUGGGUCUGAGGAGGCAGGAGUUAUUCAUUCCCUUAAGCUUUCAGGCCGGGGGGAGAAUCUUUCAGAGCCUCCAGAACGAUUCCCCCCAGAGCCUCCAGAAGGAAUGCCACCCAGUGAACACCUUGGUUUUAGGACUUCUGACCUCUGGAACUGUAAGGUGGUAGCUGCAAGAACUCUUAGUAUGUUGACCUCACCUCUGCCUUCCACAUACCACUACCAGUGAGGAAUUAGGAAUGCAUGAGAAGAGUGUCCAAGAAGAGUGUCCUCAUUCAUGCAAGGCUUAAGAGAGAAUGCAGGUCAACAUCACCAUGUCAAUCAGAGGUGCAGAUGCUGAGAGCACUUUCUAGUCAAGUCCUGCAUGUUCAUUUCUGUCUCAAGUCAGCUUCUCUGAGAAUCCAAUUUAUAAAAAUAUAUUUGUGAAUGUAUAAGUAAAGUGACUUGGAUUUUGUCUACGUACAAGGACUUCUAUGCCUGCAUAAAACAGCUUUCAGAGUGACUAACCAUACCAGUUUGACCAAGACUGUAUUGGCUGCAGCACUUAAAAGCUCACAUCCCGGAAAUCCUUUGGUCCUCGGUGAAUUGGGAUGGUUGGUUACCCUAUUACUGAUGAUUGUAAUUCUCAGCGUAGUUUGGAACCAGCAGCAGCAGCAGCUCCCCAGACCUACUGAAUCAGAAUCUACAUUUUGAUAAGAGCCCAGGGUGACUCCAUGUACGUGAAAAAGUUUGAGAAGUCCUUAGACCUACAGUUCACAGCUUCUCCUUCUUUCUUAUUCAACUGAAUUGCAGUGGGACCUGAGUAUGGUUAAAAUAAAUGAAUAAAAACACAAA